AGAGUUUGAUCCUGGCUCAGGAUGAACGCUAGCGGCAGGCCUAAUACAUGCAAGUCGAACGAGAUUAAGAGGCUUGCUUCUUAUGAAAGUGGCGCACGGGUGCGUAACGCGUAUGCAACCUACCUUAAUCAGGGGGAUAGCCCGAAGAAAUUCGGAUUAAGACCGCAUAAAAACACAGGAUAGCAUUAUCCAAUGUUCAAAUAUUUAUAGGAUUAAGAUGGGCAUGCGUGUCAUUAGCUAGUUGGCGGGGUAACGGCCCACCAAGGCGACGAUGACUAGGGGAUCUGAGAGGAUGACCCCCCACACUGGUACUGAGACACGGACCAGACUCCUACGGGAGGCAGCAGUAAGGAAUAUUGGUCAAUGGAGGGAACUCUGAACCAGCCAUGCCGCGUGCAGGAAGACAGCCCUCUGGGUCGUAAACUGCUUUUAUUCGGGAAUAAACCUUUCUACGUGUAGGAAGCUGAAUGUACCGGAGGAAUAAGGAUCGGCUAACUCCGUGCCAGCAGCCGCGGUAAUACGGAGGAUCCAAGCGUUAUCCGGAUUUAUUGGGUUUAAAGGGUGCGUAGGCGGCUUAUUAAGUCAGGGGUGAAAGACGGUGGCUCAACCAUCGCAGUGCCCUUGAUACUGAUGAGCUUGAAUACACUAGAGGUAGGCGGAAUGUGACAAGUAGCGGUGAAAUGCAUAGAUAUGUCACAGAACACCGAUUGCGAAGGCAGCUUACUAUGGUGUUGUUGACGCUGAGGCACGAAAGCGUGGGGAUCAAACAGGAUUAGAUACCCUGGUAGUCCACGCCCUAAACGAUGAAUACUUGCUGUUAGCGAUAUACAGUUAGCGGCUGAGCGAAAGCGUUAAGUAUUCCACCUGGGGAGUACGCCCGCAAGGGUGAAACUCAAAGGAAUUGACGGGGGCCCGCGCAAGCGGAGGAGCAUGUGGUUUAAUUCGAUGAUACGCGAGGAACCUUACCCGGGCUUGAAAGUUAGUGAAUGAUCUAGAGAUAGAUCAGUGAGCAAUCACACGAAACUAGGUGCUGCAUGGCUGUCGUCAGCUCGUGCCGUGAGGUGUUGGGUUAAGUCCCGCAACGAGCGCAACCC
rnacentral:rRNA from 1 species